AACGAACGCUGGCGGCAGGCCUAACACAUGCAAGUCGAACGCCCUAGCAAUAGGGAGUGGCAGACGGGUGAGUAACACGUGGGAACCUUCCCUAUAGUACGGAAUAUACCAGGGAAACUUGGAGCAAUACCGUAUACGCCCGAGAGGGGAAAGAUUUAUCGCUAUAGGAUGGGCCCGCGUAGGAUUAGCUAGUUGGUGAGGUAAUGGCUCACCAAGGCGACGAUCCUUAGCUGGUUUGAGAGAACGACCAGCCACACUGGGACUGAGACACGGCCCAGACUCCUACGGGAAGCAGCAGUGGGAAUAUUGGACAAUGGGCGCAAGCCUGAUCCAGCCAUGCCGCGUGAGUGAUGAAGGCCUUAGGGUUGUAAAGCUCUUUUG
rnacentral:rRNA from 1 species